AUUUCGCCGCCCCAAUUUCCCCCCAAAAUCGAAAAUUUCAUGAAAAUCCAUCAAACCCCUCCUUUCCCCAAACCCCAACCCCAACCUCCUCCUCUUGUCCCGUUCCCUCUCCUCCCUGAGCCCGUCCCAAAACCCUAGCAGCCUUAGCGGUCCCCCUCCCUCGACCUCCGCCGGGUUCAGCACCGACCGCCUCCCUCCGACGACCAGCUCUUCCUCUUCCGACGACUCUUCUGGCUCUUUUUCGAGGUUUUCUCCCCCUUGUCGCCUGAUCGCUGAGAUUCCUCCUCCAUUUGAGGAGGAGGAGGAGGACAAGAAGGAGUCGGGGAGCGCAAAUUUUAGAGCGAGAGCCUUUUGGAGCCUGGAAUUCGAAGUGAAAUCUUAACUAGUUCAGUUCACAUGACGGAGCCUCGAGGAUUGGUUUCGCCUUCGAUUUCGUCUUCGACUUCUCGAUCUCGCUUAACAAGGAAGGAGUUCUACUUCUUCGAGGUGGACUCCAGGCUCUCAAAGGACCUCCCUCUGGAUCUGCAGAAGCUCAGAUGCAAGGUCCUUUUGAUUUCUAUAGAAGUGCCAGUCUCAUAGGAAGUACCAGUCUGACCAAUCUGACCAUGGCUACUCAUAUUAGCGUCGGGGUUGAUGUUUGUAUGAGUUAUGAGAGGAGACUCUACUUCAGUCUCCCAAGAGUGCAGCAUGUUCUUCAUGCCAACAGAACAAAAUUGCCUUAUAGGAUGUCAAUGUGCAGUCAGCGAGUAUUCCUAUUUCUUGAAUUCAUAUGACCUUAUCCAUCAUUUUUUAUAACUAUUGUGCGUAAUGUUGUGCGAUGGAGCAUACAGAACCUCUGGUAAAUAAUUUAUGUAAAAGUUUGUAAACAAUUUAUGUAUCUCUUUACUAUUUUGGUGAAUGUAUUAUUUGAAUAUAA